CAAGUGCUCAGUUCAUCGCCACCCAACAUUUCGUUUAGGCGAGAUUUGAUUGGCCCCCGAUUUAUGUCAUGGAACAAUCUUUUAUCCCGUCUAGAUUCGAUUAAUCUUAGACAAGGCCGAGAUGUGUUUCGCUGGAACCUUACUCCAUCAGGGUCAUUCACAGUAGACUCUAUGUAUCGUGCACUCAUGCAUUCUGAGGUACCGAUGAGUAAUAAUAAGAAAAUCUGGAAGUCGAAGAUUCCACUAAAAGUUAAAAUCUUCAUGUGGUAUCUUCGUAGGGGAGUUGUUCUAACCAAAGACAACCUCACAUGGCGCAACUGGCCAGGGAGUAAGAAGUGUUGUUUUUGUACUCAUGAAGAGACAAUCAAACACCUCUUUUUCCAAUGCAAGUUUGCAUGUUCUAUGUGGUCAAUCAUCCAAAUAGCAUCAAAUUUGUAUCCGCCCACAAGUGUCGCGAAUAUUUUUGGUCAUUGGUUCGUCGACAUUUCAAAUUGA
rnacentral:rRNA from 1 species